GGACUACUAGGGUAUCUAAUCCCGUUUGCUCCCCUGGCUUUCGUGUCUCAGCGUCAGCACACUCCCAGCGAGCUGUUUUCACCGUUGGCGUUCCAAAUGAUAUCUACGCAUUUCACCGCUCCACCAUUUGUUCCGCUCGCCCCUAAGUGGCUCAAGACAACUAGUAUGCCAAGCAGUUCCACGGUUAAGCCGUGGGAUUUCACAAGGCACUUAGCAGUCCGCCUACACACGCUUUAAGCCCAGUGAUUCCGCCUAACGCUUGGCACCUCUGUAUUACCGCGGCGGCUGGCAC
rnacentral:rRNA from 1 species